rnacentral:lncRNA from 1 species
AGGUUAUCCUGCGCCGGCGCUGCGCACUGUGUCUCCAGAGCGCUGGGAGGGCCCAGUUCGCCCAAUGCCUGCGCUCCGCCUGUGCCGGGCCAAAGUGGGCAUUCAGCCUGGAGUAUGGGUAAAGAGCGUCCGUACCAGAACUCCAGUGCUCCCCCACAGCCCGGUUUAUCCUGUGCCUCCUCCUCGGAUCAGGCCUCCAGUGGGUCUCUCCAUCCUGGUUAAGCCUGUGCCUCCUCCACGGACCAGGCCUCCAGUGGGUCUCGCCAGUCCAAAGCCGCCAGAGCUGCCCGCCAGUCCGGAGCCGCCAGAGCUGCCCGCCAGUCCGGAGCCGCCAG